CGGGUCCUCCUGCUCUAAAGACAAGGGCUUUACUGACUGAGUCAUCUCCUUAGCCUCAGAGCCAGCAUUUAACCCCAGAGCCUCUCCCUCUGCAGGAACUGGACUCAGUCUCACGCUCUGCCCUCUGUGGUCAGGGACUUUCCUCACAGCAAAGUCACAUAAAAACUUGACAAGAUAGACCAAGGCGGGGCUCUUGGCCGCACCCAUCACAUGCUGGCCGCGAGUCACCCACUGCCAGGAAUGGCCAGGCAACUGCUCUGUAGCCAUUCUGAGUUGGCUUGACCCUGUGACUCUCUGGACUCUGCAUGGCCUGGAAGAAUCAGCCUUGACCUACCUCCGGCCGUUCGAAACUCCCUAUUCCCGACAUUGCCUGGCCUCCCCAUAUAUCGUACCCAGAGAAAGCACACUAAGAACUCCUUUCUCUCUCUUUUGAGGGCCUCACUACACAAAGCCAAGCUGGCCACGAACUUGUGGCGUCCUCUUACCUCAGCCUCCUAAGGGCUGGGAUUACAGACAUAAGCCACCGCAUUGGUCUCGUCUUUGUGGAAAAUGACCCUGCACGAGGCACAUACCUCUGGGAGACAGAGCCGUGAGUAGUCCCCACAAAUAGGCGACCAAGGUGCACAGUAUCCUUGACCCUGGCUAUGACCACAUAGAGCCGUGACACCUAAUCUGCGUACAGAGUGUCCCAUCCACCCAGCAUGUUAGUACUGCCUUUUUCUCCCAGCCCAUGGUUACUAGGACUGCAAGAUGUUUAAAAUUUCAUCUAAGAAUUUAGACAGGGAGCAGUGUUGCACACCUACUGACCUCCUAAACUAUAGGCGUAGGAACCAGGAUUCACCAGACUCAGCAUAGAAUGAAGUGGAGUUUAUUUGGGGAAGAAGAACUUAACACAGGAAACAAGUGACUGUCGCUCUGAUUCCAAGGAUGCAGACCCUGCUACCCUGAUGCUCUCUCUGCAACCUGAAGGGGCUCUGAGCCCCAGUCCAAUUCCUUUUAACUGGUCAUGUCCACACCUGUGGCCAUGUCCAAAAGGGCAUGGUCUGUGCUACAGGUGAGGAAGUGGAUAUUGCUACAAUUCCCCUUUUAGUCUAAAGAAGAUUUAGGCUUGAUACAAAACUAUAUACAGUGAUAGCAAAUAUCAAGUGUGCUCUAGGAGAUGGAAAGGUAAAAACACACACAAAUUAAGACCUUUUUACCAGUGAAGCAACAUUGAGCAAUUGACAUGAACUACUCUAAACCGUGUUGGUUCCUUUGGUCCAGUGUGGGUUGCUGUUGAUAGUUCUCUGUUCACAACAGUGUCUGGUUAGGGGGAGGUCAUGUCUCUACAGAUGCUGGAGCAAGAAGGAUCUUAAAGUAAUCUGACCCUUUAUCCUAUAAAAGAGGAAAUAUGAACUCUAAGGUCACCAGAGAUCAUGGAGCUAUUGACUGCUAAUCAGGCUUCGAACCCAAGUCCUCUGAUUUUUGGUUCUCUUUUCUUUCACUUACAACAUAUGUGACUUCACAUAUGGUCUCAGCUCCAUCAUUCACUGUGCGGUUUUUAAUCUGAUAUUUAACCUUGGAUCAUCUGAAAUACAAACAAUCUCAGCUACUGACCUCAUGGAGUUAUAUUAAGGAACAAGUGAGAUUUUUGCCUGGAUAGUGCAUUUGGAGAUGUCCGUCACACACAAUGAACUGUUCAGGAAAUUGGUGUUUUCAUUUGUGUUUUUUGGUGUUGGGGUUGAGCCCAGGGCCUUGUGAAUAUUAGGCAUAUCUUUGACUAGUAAGUAAGUUAAGUACCAGCCCUGUAGGUUAAAAACAAAACUAAACAACACAAAACAACACAAAACAAACAAACAAACAGACAGAAAACCCAAGUCCUCCUAACAAUUGGUCAGGAUCACUUUACAGUCUAGAAGCAUUUUCUCCCUAGCUGAGCUUAGAGGAAGGAAACAGCAUCUUGUGUUGUGGUUUGUGCUGGGAGUUUCCAUGCUUACCUUCAAUGUUUGUUCAAUACAGUGUUCUGUGGGACCCUAGGUUUUUCCUAACUCUGAGAAAAGUAAUCCACUAAAUCUCUUAAGACCAAGGUAACAGCGAUAGUUUACACUCUCAAAAUACGAUGGUGAGGUUAGCACAAUGUUAUUCUUUCAGCUGGAGGUGGGGGAAUCUCAGAUAACAAUGGCCGGUAGGUACAAGACCUUGGAUCUUGGUCUGGAUCUUCAUGGAGACUUAGGCAACUCCAGAUGAUUGUGUGUUUGGCCCCUAGCUGAAAAUCCCCUUACCAGCUCCUCCCCACCCCACUGUGUGGAGGACCUCCUGUCCCGGUGAGUGAGUGGGUUAUUGGUGGAGGGAAGGGGCAGGGACCAAAGCACCUGGGAUGUGGGCGGUAUCGUGGGUGCUUAGCAGGCUGGUUGAAUACUUAUUGUCUUCGAGAUUCUGCUUGGGUUCAGGGCUCAAAGCUGGCAGCUAAGUGAAAACUGUAAUCUAACACAAUGGGAUUUGUAUCUCAACAAAUGGAAAGCCAAAGUAAACAUGGCCAAGACAAGGGUGUAGAGAAAGAUUUAACACCUGCAAGAUGUAAGGGAAACCCAUACUUAUUUCCCAAACAGUGACCUCUCCCAACAAAGGAAGCUUGCGGAUUUUGUGUGGACGCCUAUACAUAUUCCCAUAGGAACACACUUUAGGGGUGGGCACAUUCCUGAGCAUGCUCAGUUAAGGUGGCAACUGAAGAAGGAAAGAGAGUAGACACUUUUUGACGGGGGAAAGUCCU